rnacentral:lncRNA from 1 species
GGCGUGAGUAGAGCCAUCCUAAGUGAGCGUCACUGGAAGGAUGGGAAGCAGUAGACAGGAGAGACUGGGAGAGGCUCUCAACAUCAGUCCUGAUACAAACACCCCUCCCAACUAUCUCAUCCUGCUCUGUGAGACAGCCCAUACCGUGCAGACUACACCAGGAGGAGCGGAGCAGUAUGCAAGAAGAAACCAAAGUCCUCUCGCCCUUGUUAUACAUGCCUGCCUACCUUCCAAGCCCCGGCCAGCUCCUAAAUUCCAUGCUUCCAAAUAAGACAGUAAAAUAUUCAGCUCUGUGGAUUGCUAACAGAUUCUUGGCCUGAGCACAAGUCGCCCCUAAUGUGCCUGACUGGAUACCAAUAUAAAGUACAAUGGGUUCGCA